GUCACCAUUUGACACCAUAGUGAUACGUGAGAUGCCACGUCGAAUGCCUUUUCUCCCAAAAUAAGCCAGCCAGCCACUUCCUCAAUAUUUUAGUUUUCUUCCCAUUUCGCAAUAUUUUUCCUUGACAGUUGAAAUAAACCCACUCUCUCUCACCGUACCCAACAAAAUCUGCUUCAUCUGAAUCACGAGGAGGGAAGGAGGAGUGAAAGCCAAAAAUGGGUUAUGUAAUUGUGGUUUCAUUGCCAUUGAUAUUAUUCAUCUUAAUAGUGGCACUUGCUUGUUACCUUGUGGGUCGAAAUUUAGGCAGAAGAGAAGCAGCUCGAUUGCCUCAGUAUUAUGGCCCCCCUGCACCUCCUCUUCAACCUCAAUCUUCACCGGGGAACAAACCAUCUCAAUCUAAUUAGUAUUGUAUUUCUAUAAACAUGUUCCUUUUUCCUUUUUAGUAUUUCUUUCUGUUUCCAAAUGAUUAUGUUUUGCAUUUGCUUCCACUGUAAAAUGUGUUUCUUUCUGUAACUUCAAUGAUAGAUUGUUGUGCAAAGACUGUGCAACUAUGCAGUGUGCUUCAUUUUUGUGGUGUAGAAAAUUAAUGGAGGAUUUAAUAAAAUUAACUCAAUUUGGCUUACUGUUAA